rnacentral:rRNA from 1 species
UACCUGGUUGAUCCUGCCAGUAGUCAUAUGCUUGUCUCAAAGAAAUAACCCUGGCUGGUGAA